rnacentral:lncRNA from 1 species
GCUCCUGCCAACCUAGCAGUUCACAAACAUGCCAAUGUGAGUAGAUCAAUAGGUACCGCUCCGGCGGGAAGGUAACGGCGCUCCAUGCAGUCAUGCUGGCCACAUGACCUUGGAGGUGUCUACGGACAAUGCCGGCUCUUUGGCUUAGAAAUGGAGAUGAGCACCAACCCCCAGAGUCAGACAUGACUGGACUUAACGUCAGGGGAAACCUUUACCUUUACCUUAGCAUAAUGCAACUCUUCAUUUUCUUCUAGGAAGACUUGGGCCUGCUAAAGACACUUAGUGUGUCGAUGUUCCAAGUAAUAUAUAGGAACAUUUGAACCUUUUAUCUCUUUUGCUAGUGAUAUCAGGGAAAGCUGGGAAAGCCCCUCCUGCCCAUGACAAACUGGUGUUCCUGUGAACCAGGACAAGUUCCAAAGUAGUUCAUUCUGUUCUUCAGAGGCAGCGCCAGUACAGCCCACAUAUUUAAUAGCUCUAAUGUCUUUGAUGCAUGAGAACCCAGGCUUAUACGUUUAUGGAGAAGAAGACAGAUCUCUCCUGGGAUUCCUUUGAAAAUAACAAGACAGACCUCAAAAUAUUACUUUUAAAGUGAAACAUUAGCAUUACUUUUGGUUAAAAGGGAUUCAUUGUCAUUUUUCAAAGUAAGUGCUGAAAUAUAAGUCUGUGUCAAUGUACUUAUGCCAUCGUCCCAGUUGUGCCUUUUCCCCUGCUUCACAGAAUCACAGAAUGGGAAGAGACCCCAAGGGUCAUGAUUUAUCCAGAUUUACCACAGAUUUAUCAAUCCUGGAAGGCCACGGAAUGGAAGUACCAGGAAAAGAGAAUGACAGCAAGGGGAGAAUGGCUGAUGCUGCCAUGGAAGUGUCAAGACUCACGGCACAAAUUAAGUCCCGGGACUGUGGUGUGAUCAGGGGCUCUUGACAGGGCUCUUCACAUUCUCUCGUAGACUACAGGGAGGUGAUAGACUGGGCAAGGGACAUAUUUCAUUUAUGAUGGAGCUUCUCUGUUGGAUGCAAUGAGCAUAUAUGAGGCUACUGGGAAGGAAACAGAAACACUUGGGGAGCCAUGAAUUUCUGAUAUCCAAAGCCAGCUUCAUUGGUAGAAGAGAUGACAGUGGUGCAGAGUGUGGAAGAAGUUAUUGCGGCUGACUAGAAGUGUGAGCAGACUACAUAUGGGCUGUAAGCAGGAAGGCUGCUAAAGGGCAUGGGAUCUUUUGCUGGCACUGUACAAAUCAUAGUUGUGAAGAGCCAGAAGGCACAGCAAGUCCUGGAAAUUCUUUUGCAAGAGUCAUACUUUAGUUUGGAACAAUUGAAGUGGAAGGAAACAUUUUCCUUGGCAUGCACACAACAGAUUUGCCGCUGUUCAUAGAGAAUCUCAAGCUACAAUAAAAAAAUAAAAUACACCACCUCGCAACUCUUAUUU